GGGAGGCUAUGGCUGGGGAUCAACUCCGAUGCACCACUCCCGGUUGAGUUCAGAGGGGCAUAAACUGGGUCUUGCUCCUCUCUAGUAAGCAAGAACGGAAUGGGACUAUUAGUCGUGUGGUAAUUAAAUUUAAAUAAAAGUCCUGAGAGUAUUGUUUAUAAUUCUGAUGGCUGAAUGUGCUCCAUGUAUCUUGAAUUGUUUUAAGAUAAUUAAAUAUACAAAGCUCCUAUUGAUGUUUGUUUUCGUAUCGAUUAACAAAUUAAUAUUAUAUGUGCACAAUUACAAAGAAAAGGGUU
rnacentral:lncRNA from 1 species